CCCCNCUACNCNUAAACCNCCCCUNGGAGUACGCCNCNAGGUUNAACUCAANGAAUUGACGGGGGCCCGCACAAGGGUGGAGUNUNUGGUUNAUUUCGANCAACGCGAAGANCCUNCCAGGCCUUGACAUCCCUUGCAAAGCUGUAGAGAUACAGUAGAGGUNUCAAGGAGACAGGUGGUGCAUGGUUGUCGUCAGCUCGUGUCGUGAGAUGUUGGGUUAAGUCCCGCAACGAGCGCAACCCUUGCCUUCAGNUACCAGCAUUCAGUUGGGGACUCUGGAGGGACUGCCGGUGAUAAACCGGAGGAAGGUGGGGAUGACGUCAAAUCAUCAUGCCCCUUAUGGCCUGGGCUACACACGUACUACAAUGGCUGUUACAACGUGCAGCGACCUAGCGAUAGGAAGCGAAUCACUAAAAGACAGUCUCAGUUCGGAUUGAAGUCUGCAACUCGACUUCAUGAAGCUGGAAUCGCUAGUAAUCGCGGAUCAGAAUGCCGCGGUGAAUACGUUCUCGGGCCUUGUACACACCGCCCGUCAUACCAUGAGAGCUGGUAAUACCCGAAACCGGUGGCCUAACCGCAAGGAAGGAGCCGUCGAAGGUAGGACUAGUGAUUGGGGUCAAGUCGUANCAANGUANCCA
rnacentral:rRNA from 1 species